UACGGGGGGGGCAAGCGUUGUUCGGAAUUACUGGGCGUAAAGGGCUCGUAGGUGGCCAACUAAGUCAGACGUGAAAUCCCUCGGCUUAACCGGGGAACUGCGUCUGAUACUGGAUGGCUUGAGUUUGGGAGAGGGACGCGGAAUUCCAGGUGUAGCGGUGAAAUGCGUAGAUAUCAGGAAGAACACCCGUGGCGAAGGCGGCUCUCUGGGACGGUACUGACGCUGAGGUGCGAAAGCGUGGGGAGCAAACAGG
rnacentral:rRNA from 1 species